rfam:Triticum urartu cultivar G1812 contig865668, whole genome shotgun sequence.
CAAAUACUCCCUCCGUUCGGAAAUACUUGUCAUCAAAAUGGAUAAAACGAAAUGUAUCUAGACGUAUUUUAGUUUUAGAUAUAUCUCUUUUGAUCCAUUUUGAUCACAAGUAUUUUCAGACGGAGGGAGUAGAAA